AGGACGAACGCUGGCGGCGUGCUUAACACAUGCAAGUCGAGCGGAAAGGCCCUUCGGGGUACUCGAGCGGCGAACGGGUGAGUAACACGUGAGUAAUCUGCCCCUAGCUCUGGGAUAGCUCCGGGAAACCGGGAUUAAUACCGGAUACGACCACUUUAGACAUCUGUUGUGGUGGAAAGAAUUUUGGCUAGGGAUGAGCUCGCGGCCUAUCAGCUUGUUGGUGGGGUAAUGGCCUACCAAGGCGACGACGGGUAGCCGGCCUGAGAGGGCGACCGGCCACACUGGGACUGAGACACGGCCCAGACUCCUACGGGAGGCAGCAGUGGGGAAUAUUGCGCAAUGGGCGAAAGCCUGACGCAGCGACGCCGCGUGGGGGAUGAAGGCCUUCGGGUUGUAAACCCCUUCAGCAGGGACGAAGCGAAAGUGACGGUACCUGCAGAAGAAGCGCCGGCUAACUACGCGCCAGCAGCCGC
rnacentral:rRNA from 1 species